rnacentral:rRNA from 1 species
GACGAACGCUGGCGGCGUGCUUAACACAUGCAGGUCGAACGGAAAGGCCCUGCUUUUGUGGGGUGCUCGAGUGGCGAACGGGUGAGUAACACGUGAGUAACCUGCCCUUGACUUUGGGAUAACUUCAGGAAACUGGGGCUAAUACCGGAUAGGAGCUCCUGCUGCAUGGUGGGGGUUGGAAAGUUUCGGCGGUUGGGGAUGGACUCGCGGCUUAUCAGCUUGUUGGUGGGGUAGUGGCUUACCAAGGCUUUGACGGGUAGCCGGCCUGAGAGGGUGACCGGCCACAUUGGGACUGAGAUACGGCCCAGACUCCUACGGGAGGCAGCAGUGGGGUAUAUUGCACAAUGGGCGGAAGCCUGAUGCAGCAACGCCGCGUGCGGGAUGACGGCCUUCGGGUUGUAAACCGCUUUCGCCUGUGACGAAGCGUGAGUGACGGUAAUGGGUAAAGAAGCACCGGCUAACUACGUG